rnacentral:rRNA from 1 species
UGCUCGAGUGGCGAACGGGUGAGUAACACGUGAGUAACCUGCCCUUGACUUUGGGAUAACUUCAGGAAACUGGGGCUAAUACCGGAUAGGAGCUCCUGCUGCAUGGUGGGGGUUGGAAAGUUUCGGCGGUUGGGGAUGGACUCGAGGCUUAUCAGCUUGUUGGUGGGGUAGUGGCUUACCAAGGCUUUGACGGGUAGCCGGCCUGAGAGGGUGACCGGCCACAUUGGGACUGAGAUACGGCCCAG